rnacentral:rRNA from 1 species
AGUGAACGCUGGCGGUAGGCCUAACACAUGCAAGUCGAACGGCAGCACAGGAGAGCUUGCUCUCUGGGUGGCGAGUGGCGGACGGGUGAGGAAUACAUCGGAAUCUACUCUGUCGUGGGGGAUAACGUAGGGAAACUUACGCUAAUACCGCAUACGACCUACGGGUGAAAGCAGGGGACCUUCGGGCCUUGCGCGAUUGAAUGAGCCGAUGCCGGAUUAGCUAGUUGGCGGGGUAAAGGCCCACCAAGGCGACGAUCCGUAGCUGGUCUGGGAGGGUGAUCAGCCACACUGGAACUGAGACACGGUCCAGACUCCUACGGGAGGCAGCAGUGGGGAAUAUUGGACAAUGGGCGCAAGCCUGAUCCAGCCAUACCGCGUGGGUGAAGAAGGCCUUCGGGUUGUAAAGCCCUUUUGUUGGGAAAGAAAUCCAGCUGGCUAAUACCCGGUUGGGAUGACGGUACCCAAAGAAUAAGCACCGGCUAACUUCGUGCCAGCCGCCGCUGUAA